rnacentral:rRNA from 1 species
UACGAACCGUCCAAACGUUAUUCGGAUUCAUUGGGCUUAAAGGGUACGUAGGCGGCGCUAUCAGUCGGGUGUGAAAGCCCUCGGCUCAACCGAGGAACUGCGCCCGAUACUGUAGUGCUUGAGGGAAACAGAGGUAAGCGGAACUGAUGGUGGAGCGGUGAAAUGCGUUGAUAUCAUCAGGAACACCGGUGGCGAAAGCGGCUUACUGGGUCUCUUCUGACGCUGAGGUACGAAAGCUAGGGGAGCGAACGGG